CUCUUCCUGGGGUCCAGCAAAAUUAAGGCAAUUUAUACAAUUUUAAAACAUUACAAUACAUUCACAGAUGUCACAACACACCCUGUGUGCUCUCAGGCCCCUACUCCACCACUACCACAUAUCUACAUUAUUAAAUCCAUGUGAAUGUAUAGUGCAUGUGCAUGUGUGUGUGUGUGUGUGUGUGUGUGUGUGUGUGUGUGUGUGUGUGUGUGUGUGUGUGUGUGUGUAUGUGUGUGCGUGCUUGUGCGUGUUGUGUAUGCAUGUGUCUGUGCCAAUGUUUGUGUUGCUUCACAGUCCCCUCUGUUCCAUAAGGUGUUUUUUAAUCUGUUUUUUUUUCAAUCUAAUUUUACUGCUUGCAUCAGUUACUUGAUGUGGAAUAGAGUUCCAUGUAGUCAAGGGAUCUAUGUAGUACUGUGUGUUUCCCAUAGUCUGUUCUGGACUUGGGGACUGUGAAUGUGGCAUGUCUUGUGGGGUAUGCAUGGGUGUCUGAGCUGUGUGCCAGUAGUUUAGACAGACAGCUCGGAGCAUUCAAGAUAUUAAUACCUCUCAUGAAUAAAAGUAGUGAUGAAGUCAAUCUCUCCUCCACUUUCAUCCAGGAGAGAUUGACAUGCAUAUUAUUAAUAUUAGAUCUCUGUGUACAUCCAUGGGCCAGACGUGCUGCCCUGUUCUGAACCAAUUGAAAGUCCUUUUUUUUUGUGGCACCUGACCAUGGGACUGAGCAGUAGUCAAGGUGCGACAAAACCAGGGCCAGUAGGACCUGCCUUGUUGAUAGUGUUGUUAAGAAGGCAGAGAAUCACUUUAUUAUAAACAGACUUCUCCCCAUCUUAGCUACUACUGCAUCAAUAUGUUUUGACCAUUACAGUUUACCAACUAGUGUUACUCCAAGCAGUUUAGUCAUCUCAAUUUGCUACAUUUUUCACGUUAUUUAUUACAAGAUUUUAGUUGACAUGUAAAGAUUUAGUGAGCGUUUUGUUCCAAAUAUAAAUGCUUUUUGUUUUAGAAAUAUUUAGGACUAAUUUAUUCCUUGCCACCCACUCUGAAACUAACUACAGCGCUUUGUUGAGUGUUGCAGUCAUUUCAGUCGCUGUAGUAGCUGACGUGUAUAGUGUUGAGUCAUCCGCGUACACAGAAACUCUUUACCCUUUACUCAGUCAGUGGCAUGUCGUUAGUAAAGAUUGAAAAAAAGCAAGGGGUCUAAACAGCUACACUGUUAUCUGUGUUAUAAUGUUUUAUCUUGAUUGUAUAUACUUUUUUUGCUCCUCGUGAGGUAGAUGACCAGGUUUUUUUUUCUGUUUCUGAUUCAAUGUAUCAUUAGGUUCGAUGCAGUGUGUGAUCUGUGUUGCUGAUAAAAUCUUCGAUGUCUUCCUCAAAAUUAUGGCUGAAAAAGAAACCACAAACAGUAUUUGCCAAUAUCAUAACUGGAGCUGGACAUCUUUGGAGCUGAAGACUGAGGCCAGCUUUUGUAUGCUAACGUACACUCCUUAACAGUUGUACUGGAUGAAAACACAGCAUGAAAACACAUAGGCCAAUAUGUGGUCCACCUUGGUUGGCCAACAUGGUUGCUGUAUGGACAGUGGAGAGGACACGGACGUCUCGUUUGUCAUGCCACUUUACUGCCAGCUGUUGACCGUUCUCCUUGAACUCCAGCCACCCCUCUGCUGCAUCCGAAUGCCGGCAUCCCCUUCCUGUUUGACCUGACUGCCACAGGCCCCUGUGCUGUUGGAGAGCAGAUGCUGGAAGAGUGUGAGACUGCUGUACCAACUGUCUACAUACAAAGUGUGACCCUUGCUGAGAUGAGGAGCCAGCAUGGUCAUCACCAGUGACCCGGACACCCCAGGCCCCUCAUAAUGUUGGAUGUCAGUGGUGGACCCUGUAUAGACUAUAAUAUCCUGGACAAAUCCUGUCUUCACGUCGCACAUGACAAAGAACUUGACCCCAAACCUGUGCCUUUUGGAGGAAAUACAUGGACGGAAGACCAGCCUACCCUUCCAUAACAUCAGGGACUUUUCUUAUUUUGUGUGACGGGUCAUUUAGGUUGGCAGUAGCAUUGUUGACGAAAUGCAGGCAUCGCAGCAGAACUAGGAAGUGGUCUUUGGAAAAGAUGGUGGCAAAGAAGGGAGUUGCAAACAGGAUCUGUGCUCCAGUAUUCUCUUAGGGAGUUCUUCUUUACUAUUCCCAUGAGAAGAACUGUCACCAGGAAGGUAUACAUUUCACUAAUUGUGGUUGUCCCAGCCACUCCUGGCUCUCUCUUCUCCUGUAGCUCCAAGGCAUAGCGAUUGGUCUCCUCUACUAUGUCUCCCACCAGCUUCUUUGUCAGAAACAGCUUGAAGCACUCUUCCUCAGAGGGAAAUGGCAAGAGGCUUUGCACUUCAGACUGGGACUCAAAGCAAACAGCAGGGCAGGGAGGGGUGAAAUUGCUUUCACUUACCAUAGACCUCCUGUACUUCAUCCACUGUCGGUCUGCCUCCAUCACCACCAGCAUCUUCAAAGGGACCUGGGACUUCGUCAGUGGACAAGGGGUCCUCAGAUUCAGGGUUCUCAAUGGCUACAAGGUUGGGGGGCAGCUCCUCACUGUCACUGUCAGAAUCUGAUUCCUGACUUUCAGACUCACUGUCAGAAUUGAUUAAAAAAAUCUCCAUAAUUUCCCCAUUUGUGAAGGAGAUUGCUAAUGCUACAGCUUAGCCUACUAACUACAUAAACAACAACACUGAAUGGCUCAGAGUGGGAGUCAGAGGUUAUGUGAUUGACUGCCGACACAUCCCUAAACAGUGUUAAAUGCUGACUGUUGCGUCAAUCGAAACUGGACGUUCUAAAUAAGCGCUCUAAUCAGACCGGUUUGACCGUACGUUGUAGAACGAUCACACCUGUUUGUUGUUCCGUGUGAAAAGGUUAAUACCAAAUGUUGCUUUGGUUUUGAAGAUAUUUUCAGAUAUUACAUGUUUAAAAUUAAGUCAGAAAGUCAUUUUCAUUUGAAGUUAAAGUGUACUGUUUCCUAGCUAGCUAAUGUUAGCUGGCUGGCCAGUCAACUAAUGUUAUGUGUAUAAUCAAGUGAAUAUUUAUGAUGUCACUGCGACAACUAUCGCUAGACGUAGCUGGUAAUUUGCUCUAGCUAUCUACUCCGAUUUCAGAGCACUCUCGUCUGAGUGUUAACGAAUACAUUACGUUAGCGAAUACACCAUUUAGUUCGAGGAAUGUUAGGACUGCUGUCCUAACAUUUAAAAGGGCAAAUUUCAACGAGGAGGUGACGAUCACCACGCUGGAAUGGUGAAUUUCAACAAGACCAGCCAGAAUACAGCACAAGCUGAUUAUGGCAACUUAGUAUGAACUUUGAAUGAUUAUUCACUAAAGAAGUGAUACAUCCUAGACGUCGAGUUAUCAGCUGGGUUCUUCAUGAUGAUCAUGAUGUUCUUCAUGAUGCUCUCUGCGCUUUUAACGGACCUCUGAGACUAUCACAGUGCAGGUGCAUUUAUACGGAGACUUGAUUACACACAGGUGGAUUGUAUUUGUCAUCAUUAGUCAUUUAGGUCAACAUUGGAUCAUUCAGAGAUCCUCACUGAACUUCUGGAGAGAGUUUGCUGCACUGAAAGU